rnacentral:tRNA from 1 species
GCCGAGGUGGCGGAACAGGCAGACGCGCCAGACUCAAAAUCUGGUGGGGGAAACCCCGUGUGGGUUCGAGUCCCACUCUCGGCACCA